rnacentral:rRNA from 1 species
UACAGAGGUCUCAAGCGUUGUUCGGAUUCAUUGGGCGUGAAGGGUGCGUAGGCGGUUUGUCGCGUCGGGAGUGAAAUCCACUGGCUUAACUGGUGGCUUGCUUUCGAUACGGGCAGACUGGAGGUAUGCAGGGGAGAACGGAAUUCCUGGUGUAGCGGUGAAAUGCGCAGAUAUCAGGAGGUACACCGGUGGCGAAGGCGGUUCUCUGGGCAUGUCCUGACGCUGAGGAGCGAAAGUGUGGGGAGCGAACAGG